GCCUACGACCAUACCACCCUGAAUACGCCCGAUCUCGGAAGCUAAGCAGGUUCGGGCCCAGUUAAAGGUUAGUACCUGGAUGGGAGACUGCCAGGGAACACCGGGUGUUGUAGGCU
rnacentral:rRNA from 1 species